rnacentral:tRNA from 1 species
GCGGGUGGAGCAGCUCGGUAGCUCGCUGGGCUCAUAACCCCGAGGUCGCAGGUUCAAAUCCUGUCCCCGCU